rnacentral:rRNA from 1 species
CCUACGGGUUGCAGCAGUGGGGAAUAUUGCACGAUGGGCGCAAGCCUGAUGCAGCCAUGCCGCGUGUAUGAAGAAGGCCUUCGGGUUGUAAAGUACUUUCAGCGGGGAGGAAGGUGUUGUGGUUAAUAACCGCAGCAAUUGACGUUACCUGCAGAAGAAGCACCGGCUAACUCCGUGCCAGCAGCCGCGGUAAUACGGAGGGUGCAAGCGUUAAUCGGAAUUACUGGGCGUAAAGCGCACGCAGGCGGUCUGUCAAGUCGGAUGUGAAAUCUCCGGGCUCAACCUGGGAACUGCAUUCGAAACUGGCAGGCUAGAGUCUUGUAGAGGGGGGUAGAAUUCCAGGUGUAGCGGUGAAAUGCGUAGAGAUCUGGAGGAAUACCGGUGGCGAAGGCGGCCCCCUGGACAAAGACUGACGCUCAGGUGCGAAAGCGUGGGGAGCAAACAGGAUU